GUGGUCACUUCAGCAGCACAUAUACUAAAACGGAAUGAUACAGGGAAGACUGGCAUGGCCCCUGAGCAAGGAUGACACGAAAAUUCCUGAAGCAUUACAUAAAAAU